AGUGAACGCUGGCGGUAGGCCUAACACAUGCAAGUCGAACGGCAACACAGUAAGAGCUUGCUCUUACGGGUGGCGAGUGGCGGACGGGUGAGGAAUGCAUCGGACUCUACUUUUUCGUGGGGGAUAACGUAGGGACACUUACGAUAAUACCGCAUACGACCUACGGGUGAAAGCAGGGGAUCUUCGGACCUUGCGCGAUUGAAUGAGCCGAUGUCGGAUUAGCUAGUUGGCGGGGUAAAGGCCCACCACGGCGACGAUCCGUAGCUGGUCUGAGAGGAUGAUCAGCCACACUGGAACUGAGACACGGUCCAGACUCCUACGGGAGGCAGCAGUGGGGAAUAUUGGACAAUGGGCGCAAGCCUGAUCCAGCCAUACCGCGUGGGUGAUGAAGGCCUUCGGGUUGUAAAGCCCUGUUGUUGGGAAAGAAAAGCAGCAGGUUAAUACCCCGCUGUUCUGACGGUACCCAAAGAAUAAGCACCGGCUAACUUCGUG
rnacentral:rRNA from 1 species